rnacentral:rRNA from 1 species
GCCCCCGGCUAACUACGUGCCAGCAGCCGCGGUAAUACGUAAGGACCGAGCGUUGUCCGGAAUCAUUGGGCGUAAAGAGUACGUAGGCGGUAAAAUAAGUUAGAAGUAAAAGGCACCGGCUCAACCGGUGUAAGCUUUAAAACUGUUUUACUUGAGACAUUGAGGGGAAAGUGGAAUUUCUAGUGUAGCGGUGAAAUGCGCAGAUAUUAGGAAGAAUACCGGUGGCGAAAGCGACUUUCUAGCGAUGUUCUGACGCUGAGGUACGAAAGCGUGGGAAGCAAACAGGAUUAGAUACCCUGGUAGUCCACGCCGUAAACGAUGAGUGUUAGAUGUCCGAGGUAAACUUGGGUGUCCCAAGCAAACGCGAUAAACACUCCGCCUGGGGAGUACGUACGCA